GUGGGGAAUAUUGGACAAUGGGCGAAAGCCUGAUCCAGCCAUGCCGCGUGUGUGAAGAAGGUCUUCGGAUUGUAAAGCACUUUAAGUUGGGAGGAAGGGCAGUAAGUUAAUACCUUGCUGUUUUGAUGUUACCAACAGAAUAAGCACCGGCUAACUUCGUGCCAGCAGCCGCGGUAAUACGAAGGGUGCAAGCGUUAAUCGGAAUUACUGGGCGUAAAGCGCGCGUAGGUGGUUCAGCAAGUUGGAGGUGAAAUCCCCGGGCUCAACCUGGGAACUGCCUCCAAAACUACUGAGCGAGAGUACGGUAGAGGGUAGUGGAAUUUCCUGUGUAGCGGUGAAAUGCGUAGAUAUAGGAAGGAACACCAGUGGCGAAGGCGACUACCUGGACUGAUACUGACACUGAGGUGCGAAAGCGUGGGGAGCAAACAGGAUUAGAAACCCUGGUAGUCC
rnacentral:rRNA from 1 species